GUUUGGGUGGUGUUGUUGGUUAUCACACUAGUCUCACACAAUAGAGGUCCCGGUUCAAACCUGAGCUCUGACA
rnacentral:tRNA from 1 species